rnacentral:rRNA from 1 species
GAUGAACGCUAGCGACAGGCUUAACACAUGCAAGUCGAGGGGCAGCAUAGAAGUAGCAAUACUUUGGUGGCGACCGGCGCACGGGUGAGUAACGCGUAUGCAACCUACCUAUCAGAGGGGAAUAACCCGGCGAAAGUCGGACUAAUACCGCAUAAAACAGGGGCACCGCAUGGUGAUAUUUGUUAAAGAAAUUCGCUGAUAGAUGGGCAUGCGUUCCAUUAGGUAGUUGGUGAGGUAACGGCUCACCAAGCCGACGAUGGAUAGGGGAACUGAGAGGUUGGUCCCCCACACUGGUACUGAGACACGGACCAGACUCCUACGGGAGGCAGCAGUGAGGAAUAUUGGUCAAUGGGCGGGAGCCUGAACCAGCCAAGUCGCGUGAAGGAAGAAGGAUCUAUGGUUCGUAAACUUCUUUUGCAGGGGAAUAAAGUGCAGGACGUGUCCUGUUUUGUAUGUACCCUGAGAAUAAGGAUCGGCUAACUCCGUGCCAGCAGCCGCGGUAA